rnacentral:tRNA from 1 species
GUCCUUAUAGUUUAAAUAAAACUUUAGUCUUGUAAACUAAUAUUGCUAGUCUGAGGACU